GCCGGGGUGGCGGAACUGGUAGACGCGCCAGACUCAAAAUCUGGUGGGAGCGAUCUCGUGUCGGUUCGAUUCCGACCCUCGGUACCA
rnacentral:tRNA from 1 species